rnacentral:rRNA from 1 species
AGAGUUUGAUCCUGGCUCAGGACGAACGCUGGCGGCGUGCCUAACACAUGCAAGUCGAACGGGGCUUAGCGAGCUUGCUUGCUAAGCUUAGUGGCGGACGGGUGAGUAACGCGUGAGCAACCUGCCUUUCAGAGGGGGACAACAGUUGGAAACGACUGCUAAUACCGCAUAACAUUAUUGAGUCGCAUGGCUUAAUAAUCAAAGGAGCAAUCCGCUGAAAGAUGGGCUCGCGUCCGAUUAGAUAGUUGGCGGGGUAACGGCCCACCAAGUCGACGAUCGGUAGCCGG